CAUGAAUACAUAUUUUCUACCUUCUAUCAGUCAGAGCAUCGAUUUUUCCCAGGAACGAUGCCCAAAAACAGAUUCGCACCAGGUUUACCUGCGGCACUUCGUACCGCGUCACGUUUAGCGCAUCACGCAUCUGCAGAGCUUACGGCUAUGCGUAAUACAAUCGACCAACUAUUAUAUCAUCUUACCCUUUUUUUUCUUUUCAUACUGAUCGAAUAGAACCUACCGAAGAUUAUAGGGCUACGAUAUAACUGGAACAACAAAGAGAUGAAAUACAUAGUAUGGAAUAUAGAAGACACAUUAGUUAAGAUAGCACAGAAAAUUAGUUCGUCCGUAAGGUACUUUAUCUAUCAAAUAUAUGGUUCACCAACGCAUUAUCUUUUGAAAUAUAGUAUAAAGGACGUUACAAGAUGUAAUUAACUUCAGUUUUCAGAUGGUAACUGAUAUUCUUGGCAAAGAAUAUUUCAAUUAUUGCACAGCGUUGUUUAGAGGAUUCGAGCGAUUGAAAAUUUGAACAUUUUCUACUAAGGCAUUUUACCGUAUAGCUGACACGUAGUUACAUUAGUGGACACACGACGAUGUACAUCUUUGUGAUGCAGUCUCUUUUGAUAAAUUCAAGAUGACCUUGGUAUACUUUCAAAAAAUUGGUCUGGAGGAACGGUCGCUUCCGUUAGGAACCUUCAUACGUGAACGUUCUUUUUUGUCGCACGCAUGCUCAUCACUUAUUAUUGAUAUCGCGAACAUCGUGCGACGCCGUUACCGCAUAUCGGUCACGGCCACCAGCGAAACUGUUAAUUAUCUAUUAGAUACGAAUAAAGUUUAUGAAUAUCAAUACUUAUCCGACAUCAUGAUUUCAAAUAAAUUAAUGAAUCGGAUACAUUUAAUCGGGUCACUUAGUUGACUAAAAUUUCUUAUUUACAUUGUACUGCACAUUACAUUACAUUACUUUUAUCAAUGAAUUCAGAAAGUAAUGAAAGAAAUUGUAAAAACGUUUCAGAUUACGGAUAAACGACUCACCAUAAAUUAAUUUAUUUUUACCGUUAUAAAUUAUACAAUGCUUCUUCCAACGCGAGGCAUGCGUCGUGUUGCAUACUGAAGGGGUUAAUACCUAUGUGUAACCGCAGAGCACGCAACAAAUCUGCCUUUUUUCUAUUAAAAUACGUUUUUGGUGAAAUGUGUUGCUAUGAUUAAAAUUGUACUUUUAAUCUUAGAAAUGAAUUUCAUUUUUUUUUUCUUUUUUUUUUUUUAAUCACUUACAGACACGAUUGCGAUGAGACGAAUGAUAAGAUAAAUGAAGAUGUGAUUGAUAUAAUUGUUAAUACAAAGGUAAAA